rnacentral:rRNA from 1 species
GACGAACGCUGGCGGCGUGCUUAACACAUGCAAGUCGAACGGACAGGCCCUGCUUUUGUGGGUUGCUCGAGAGGCGAACGGGUGUGUAACACGUGAGUAUCCUGCCCUUAACUUUGGGGUAACUCCAGGAGACUGGGGCUAAUACCGGAUAGGAGCUCCUGCUGCAUGUGGUGGGUUGGAAAGUUUCGGCGGUUGGGGAUGGACGCGCGGCUUAUCAGCUUGUUGGUGGGGUAGUGGCUUACCAAGGCUUCGACGGGUAGCCGGCCUGAGAGGGUGACCGGCCACAUUGGGACUGAGAGACGGACCAGACGCCUACCGGAGGCAGCAGUGGGGAAUAUUGCACAAUGGGCGGAAGCCUGAUGCAGCAACGCCGCGUGCGUGAUGACGGCCUUCGGGUGGUAAACCGCUUUCGCCGGUGACGAAGCGUGAGUGACGGUAAUGGGUAAAGAAGCACCGGCUAACUACGUG